UACGUAGGUGGCGAGCGUUGUCCGGAUUUACUGGGCGUAAAGGGAGCGUAGGCGGACUUUUAAGUGAGAUGUGAAAUACUCGGGCUCAACUUGAGUGCUGCAUUUCAAAUUGGAAGUCUAGAGUGCAGGAGAGGAGAAUGGAAUUCCUAGUGUAGCGGUGAAAUGCAUAGAGAUUAGGAAGAACACCAGUGGCGAAGGCGAUUCUCUGGACUGUAACUGACGCUGAGGCUCGAAAGCGUGGGGAGCAAACAGG
rnacentral:rRNA from 1 species